UCUUAUUCAGUAGUUUUGUAAGAUUCGCAACUCGCAACGAGAUGUUGAUUUCCUUCUGGUAUGACUCUUGGUUGUUUAACUAUCCUCUAAAGGAUAGAUAUCUACAGUUAUUCCUUAUUGCACCCAAAAAGAACAUCACAGUAGCAGGGGCUUUUAUUCAAAUCAUGAACAAUAGCUACUGGUCACCUAUACUCCAAGCACACUGCCACCUAGACCUGCAGAGAAUGAGACAGGACCUAAGCUCGCUUAAUCUAUCAGAGGAGCUUGAUAGUCCUGAUUGAAAAUGAUUUCAUACCUGCAAAUUUUUAGUAAAAUAAUUCUAUUUCUUCCCAAAGGAUGGGGCCGUGAGACCAUACUUCAGUACGAUUGUGUGGGGUAUUAGAAUCUCAGAGAAAAUCAAAUUCUUCAUCUAUGUCAGCUACCAUGAUAGAAAAAUCCUAACAAAAUCGAUUCUCAUCAAGCGAGGGUGGAA
rnacentral:lncRNA from 1 species